rnacentral:sRNA from 1 species
GCCGAUCUCAUCGAGCGGCAACGCAGCUCGGC